rnacentral:rRNA from 1 species
CCUACGGGAGGCAGCAGUGGGGAAUCUUGCGCAAUGGGCGAAAGCCUGACGCAGCCAUGCCGCGUGAAUGAUGAAGGUCUUAGGAUUGUAAAAUUCUUUCACCGGGGACGAUAAUGACGGUACCCGGAGAAGAAGCCCCGGCUAACUUCGUGCCAGCAGCCGCGGUAAUACGAAGGGGGCUAGCGUUGCUCGGAAUUACUGGGCGUAAAGGGAGCGUAGGCGGAUAGUUUAGUCAGAGGUGAAAGCCCAGGGCUCAACCUUGGAAUUGCCUUUGAUACUGGCUAUCUUGAGUACGGAAGAGGUAUGUGGAACUCCGAGUGUAGAGGUGAAAUUCGUAGAUAUUCGGAAGAACACCAGUGGCGAAGGCGACAUACUGGUCCGUUACUGACGCUGAGGCUCGAAAGCGUGGGGAGCAAACAGGAUUAGAUACCCUGGUAGUCCACGCUGUAAACGAUGAGUGCUAGUUGUCGGUCAUGCAUGCAUGUUCGGGUUGGACGCGAGCUAACGACAUUAAGUACACCUCCCGCCGUGGGGUAGGUACGGUCCGGCGAAGAAUUAAAACGUUUAAAACGGUAAAGUUAGACGGCGUGAGACGUGCCGAACGGACGACCGACGAGGGGAGGUAGG